rnacentral:tRNA from 1 species
GGUUCCAUGAUGUAGUGGUUAACACAUCUGCUUUACACAUAGAAGAUCCUGGGUUCAAUCCCAGGGUGGAGACA